GAAUUCCACUACAGCUGAAUGGGAUUCGAACCCAAGUUACAUCGUAUUCCAGUCCAUCGCUCUACCAUUGAGCUAUGUGAGAUACUACAUUGUAAUCUAAGUCUUCAACACAUUAAGGUAACUGUGCAAAAUUGUACAUAGGGGAUCAAAUAUCAUUGGGGGGGAUAUAGGGGGGGUUGCCAGGAAGGUAUCGCAUCCGCCUAGCAACUCGAAGGUCCGUGGUUCGAUUCCACGUGGGUUCCUAAUGUCCUGGGCUUCCAACAUUCCCAGGGGUCUACCUUCCCAGGAGCCAGUCGGGUCGAGAAACUUCCCCAUUACGAAGUAAUGGGACGGAUAUUUUGGCAAUCUUUAAUACAAUUCUCAAUAAUAAAUUUUAAUAAAUUGUUCAUUUCGAUUUAUCGACGUGACCGAGUAUUUUGUUACUUAAACACUUUGCAACGGACUUUAACCAUUGUCAUCCCCAGCCGAGAGAUCUCAUACAUAUAUCAGAUUGAUUUGAACCCUUAACCUGUGGCGUACCGUGUCGAUGCUCUACCACUGAGCUAUAAGUCAUAUUACAAUGCUGUCUACAUUUUCGUGUUAAUUGAGUUAACAAAUUUGGACUUAGAAUAAUUUUUGUAGCAUGAUUCAAGACAAUUUCCUUUUAACAUGUCUAUAAUAAAUACAUCUAAUAGAAUUGCAA